GAUAAUAUAAUGUUAAAACUAGAAUAGCUAUUGCUAAAAAUAAAAAUAUUGAAAAGUCUUAAAAUAACAUAAAGAAUAAGAAAAACAUUAUCAAGAGUGAAGAAGACUUCAUUCUUAUCCCUCAUAAAUUAUUUAACUACAAAUUAUGAUGCAAUAUUAUUUAGGAUCUCUAGUAAGUGUCCAACUCGCAAGAAAUGUAUAUAACUUGUAACACAAGUUUCCAAAAUAUUCACUAAGUUGCAUAUAAGUAUCAAAAAUUACUAAUAUGUGCAAUACAUGAUAAACUUAUUGAUUAAGUUU
rnacentral:lncRNA from 1 species